rnacentral:rRNA from 1 species
GCCCAGACUCCUACGGGAGGCAGCAGUGGGGAAUAUUGGACAAUGGGCGCAAGCCUGAUCCAGCCAUGCCGCGUGAGUGAUGAAGGCCUUAGGGUUGUAAAGCUCUUUCGGCGGGGACGAUAAUGACGGUACCCGCAGAAGAAGCCCCGGCUAACUUCG